rnacentral:rRNA from 1 species
AACGAACGCUGGCGGCAUGCCUAACACAUGCAAGUCGAACGAGACCUUCGGGUCUAGUGGCGCAUGGGUGCGUAACGCGUGGGAACCUGCCCUUAGGUUCGGAAUAACUCCCCGAAAGGGGUGCUAAUACCGGAUAAUGUCUUCGGACCAAAGAUUUAUCGCCUUUGGAUGGGCCCGCGUUGGAUUAGCUAGUUGGUAGGGUAAAAGCCUACCAAGGCGACGAUCCAUAGCUGGUCUGAGAGGAUGAUCAGCCACACUGGGACUGAGACACGGCCCAGACUCCUACGGGAGGCAGCAGUGGGGAAUAUUGGACAAUGGGCGAAAGCCUGAUCCAGCAAUGCCGCGUGAGUGAUGAAGGCCUUAGGGUUGUAAAGCUCUUUUACCCGGGAUGAUAAUGACAGUACCGGGAGAAUAAGCGCCGGCUAACUCCGUG